rnacentral:rRNA from 1 species
GACGAACGCUGGCGGCGUGCUUAACACAUGCAGGUCGAACGGAAAGGCCCUGCUUUUGUGGGGUGCUCGAGUGGCGAACGGGUGAGUAACACGUGAGUAACCUGCCCUUGACUUUGGGAUAACUUCAGGAAACUGGGGCUAAUACCGGAUAGGAGCUCCUGCUGCAUGGUGGGGGUUGGAAAGUUUCGGCGGUUGGGGAUGGACUCGCGGCUUAUCAGCUUGUUGGUGGGGUAGUGGCUUACCAAGGCUUUGACGGGUAGCCGGCCGGAGAGGGUGACCGGCGACCUGGGGCCUACGAGAGGCAGCAGUUGCGAACGGGAGGCAGCGGGGGGAAGUAUGGUCCAGUGGGCGCGCGCGGGUGAAGAAGGCCUCCGGGGUGGGAAGCCGUCUUGUGGGGAAAAAACAGCUUCCGCUUGAUACGCAGCGUGUGUGACGGUACCGGAAAAAGAAGCACCGGCUAACUACGUG